GGCGGUUCUCGGGUGAUGCACCCCAGAAUCAGGCUCCCUCCUCUCUGGUUCCGGGUCCGAGAACCGCA
rfam:Myotis brandtii contig222849, whole genome shotgun sequence.